ensembl:lncRNA
GGCCGAGCGCCCACCGCGGCCGGAAAGAAGCCCUGCUCCUCCCCCGGCUCCGGCGCGGCGCGGGGCGGGGAGCCGAGGGGAGCGGAGGGGAGGGCGCAGGGAGGGCGCAGCGACGCCGCGCGGGCGCCAGGCCGGGUCCGCCGGCCUCUCCCCCUCCAGGCGGCCGCCCCGGGGCCGCGCGGCCCGGGCUGGGCUCUCCUCGACCUGCCGCCUCCCGGCCUUGUUGUCACCACUGCUCAGACCCUUCCUGCCCUUCCCGGCGCCUUCGCGCUCCUGGUCAGACACGCGUCCUCUCCCGGCCCCGCGGAAGAGCAGGGAGGCACAGCGAGGCUGAGCUGGUUGGAGGCGCACCGCUGGCAAGUGGAGGAGCGAGAGUCAAACCCAGGGCUCUUCCCCUCUCCCUCCAGUGUCCUCUCGCAGCCUUCCACAGGAGCCACCAUGUACAUACAGGCCCCAGACUGUACAAUGGAAAUAGGAAAGGGACGGGCGUUCCUCCUCGCUCACUCCGCAUCGCUUGUCUUACCCAAGGAGGAUUCUAACGCAAGGAGUGGUUCCCAGGCGGGAAAGAUGAUGAUGAGGAACAGAUAAUGGCCACAUUCACUGAGCACUCACAUAGUCACAAAGCUAAGCGAUUUAUAAGCACCUUUUUCAAGUUAAUCCUUUAAAUAACCCUGUGAUUUCAGUAAGAUAAUCAUCCCUGUUUACAGAUAAAAAAGCUGAGAUUUGGUUAAACACCAUGCCCUAGGUCCCAAAGCCGGUAGUGGUCAACCUGAGGAUGCAAACCCACUAGGGAGCUCCUGACCUGCCCUUUGGCCUUGAGAGUCUGUCUCACCACCCAGCGGCGCCUGUCCUCGAACUGAGACCUGCCAGCUGCGCAGCCCGGGGCCGGAUGUCCUGCUGUGAGAGAGUUACCUUGGGAAGUACCAACAGUGCUUCUCUCACUUUUCCAUAGUAACUCAUUUAGUCCUUGACAGGUCAGUGGACUGUGGACUAUUUGGGCCCCAUUUUACAGGUGGACAGGCUGAGGCACAGAGUGAGGUCACUGGCCCAAGGUACAAGCCACAGGACGAGCUGGGGCCCACAGCUGGUGAUCAAACCGCUCCACUCAUCGCUCUCCCGCAGACAUGGCGGUGACAGGCUUCCCUUCACCCUCUCGGUCAAAGGGGGGAAGUAGGUCCCGUUCAAUAGAUACUCUGCUCAGAAACAAGGUUCCAUUUGGGCUGAUUUUUUUUUUUUUUUUUUUUAAGGCAGAGGGUUCACUCUGGCAGCAACUUGGAAGAGCUUCUGCUUGAUCCGGCCUCAGAAGCCACUGAGAAGCUUCUGCUUUCGGGACUGGGCAAGAGGGCGGUGUAGACAUACGCUUUGCUACCGGUGCUGCUGGCGGCGGGAUCGCUCAGGGUGUCUGUUCCCAGCACAGCCUGUGCUGUGCCAUAGGAGGAUGGGAAGCCUCCAGCUUUGGUAAUGACAUCCUGCUGAGACAGGGAGUCUCCCGAUGCCAACAGAAAACGCCGCGAGAAGCUGCCAGGGUGGGGAUUUUCAGAAGGCAUCAAAGCUCGUCCUUCUCCAGCAUCUCAUUUUACUGUGACUCGAUUUUAAAGGGUCAAGUUUACAAUGCAUAUUUUCCUCUGUCACAAUCCAAACCUUUUCCUCUUCAGUUGUGAGCUCUAGCAAAAGGAAGGCGUCCACUGGGCCGGCCUCGUGGCCGAGUGGGUAAAGUUCCACACUCUCCAGUUCGGUGGCCCAGGUUCUCAGGCCUGGAUCCCGGGUGCAGACCUACUCCACUCAUCAGCUAUGCUGUGGAGGCAUCCCACAUACAAAAAAAAUGGAAGAAGAUUGGCACCAAUGUUAUCUCAGGGGUAAUCUUCCUCAAGUGGAAAAAAAAAAAACAAAGAGGAAAAUUGGCAAGGGUGUUAGCUCACGGAAAAUCUUCCUCACCAAAAAAAAAAAAAAAAAAAAAAAAAGGGAGUCCUGUCCCAUUACAGACCUGUGAGGUCCCAGGACCUGAACCUGAACAGCGACUCAUGCACUUCAUGGGACACACGGAGUGUUUUCCCACAUGUACCACAGACAGAUGCGCACAAAGAAUCCAGGAACUCCGUUUCCUCAGAGCCAACGCUGUCUUCCUAGGGUAUCUUCCUGCCUUCCUCAGUAAUGACUGGGAGCUGUUUCCUCUCCUGGGAGAAGGAGAAAAACCUACAUUGUUGAAUGCCUUUAAUGGGCCAUGUCCCAUGUGAGAUGCUUUCAAAGGAUUGUCACGCUUAUUCCUCGGAGAAUUGUCUCACUCUCUUCACAGAAGUCUUUUGCCUUGGGAGUUAUUUCUAUUGUUCAGACUCAGAGAGGUUAAGCAACUUAUUCAAGGUCAGACAGCUAAAGGAUGAAACCAGGAUUCAAACUCAGGUCUUUUUGACCACAUGCCUACCACCUCUGUGGGCCUUCUCAAACCUCUAGCCCAGAAAAUAAUUUUGCCCCACUCUUCUCCUCCACAUGCCAUGCACAAGAUGUUCUUAGCUUCUUCUGAAAAGCUGAGUUAUGAAGACAAAAGAAAGGCCCUUCUUUACAACUGGGACAAAUAAGACUUCCACUACUUCAAGAGUUGAUGUGAGAUCCCAAACUCAUCUUCAGACUCUCUUUUCCCCAACUUCUGCUUUCCACGAAAUCUGAACUGCCAUGUGGAAGGGUGUCAUCACAUUGGUGACAUCCUGUAACAUUUCGUGGAUUUCUGGUUCAGAUUUUUUGUUUCAACGACGACCUUGUGACUGAUGCAGUCAGUGAAUGUCACAGGCCAUAUCAAAGCGUUUCCUCAUGUAUUUCAUUAUUGAAAUCGAAUCUCAACUAUGGAGUCACGUUAGAAGCAUCUCAACUUUCAUUCAUUCAGACAAAUUCAUUUAGCGAUCAUCCCAUAGUUUGUAACUUUUACUACACUUUGUGCUUUGUGUCUUCUAAAGGGUUUUCUAACUAAAGACAGCAUUUUAACUUUUU